GUGUGUAUGUAUAUAUGUAUGUGUGUGUGUGUGUGUGUAUGUGCACAUAUGAGUGUGUGAGUGAGUGUGUGAGUGUGUGUGUGUGAAGUGACCCAGUUUCCCGCAGGCGGAGCAUGUUUGUUCAUCGGGCCGUGAGAGUAUCGUGAGGAGGCAGAGCAGAGAGAGAGAGACGCACACGCCACACACACACACGACUCAGAGACGCCGUGCAGACGGGACCACUGAGCGCUGACCCUGACGCUGGCAAACACCAGAGGCACAAGAGCCGCCGCAACCUCCACACCGCUGCACCGGACCACACACACCACACUCCGUCACUCCCACAGCCAGGAACCUCCACACCGGACCACACACACCACACUCCGACACUCCCACAGCCAGGAACCUCCACAUAACUGAGCUGACGCAAGCACAGCACAGAAUGAUCUGAAAUGGGUCGACUAGAUCUCUGAUGAUGCUGCUAACGCCACUCUGACAUCACACAUCCAUCAGCAUCCAUUUUCGUCUCCAGCAAUAUCACCAUGGACACCAAAGGUAGAAAACCUGCCUCCUCUCCACAGCUCCCAGCCAGUCGUGUUAGCAAACAGGAACCCAGCCAGGGCACCUCUUCUUCGACCGGGUGUGACCCGUCAGGUAGCAGGGCGCCCGGCAAAGGCGAUGCUAGUGCCGUCAUGCUAACGGUGGGAAGCAGCCAGAAGAGUGGGUCCAUGGAGCACGUUGCGCAGAUCCACAGGUCAGGACAGGCCGGCAAAACUCAUCUGACCUCAUACUCCAGUGAGCCCAAACUGCAUAAAUCCCCUAACAGCUCGAGACCACAGACCAGCACAGAUUCGCCUAAGAAUCCCCACGCCAGAAACAGCGUGGUGACAACGUUUCGAAUACCGGCUAAAGAUUCUCCGAAGACUCAACACAGCAGAGCGUCUGCUGCCUCUCAUAUACCGGCUAAGGAUUCGCCUAAGCUCAACAGCUCAGCUUCAACCUCUCAAACAGCAGCUAAAGACCCCAAGAAUCAAAACAAGCUUGCGUCUUCUCAUAUACCAGUGAAAGUGUCACCAAAAAUUAACAAAGUGCCCUCCAAGACAUCAAUGAAAGAGUCGCCAAGUAACAGCAGCACACCUCUCUCCCUGUCGGACGACCUGUCUCCUGUCAGUGAUGAUGGGAGUCUGGCUCAGGCUCUCAGGGCUGAUGUCAUCCCUGUCACACCGCCCCCUGUUGUCCACCAACAGGUAAAACAGGAGACAAAACAAACCAGCCCUGUUGUCCAGGAUUCUCAAAAGCCACUCAAGGAAGAAGGCAAACACGUACCUUCUCCACACACUCAUCUGUCUCCUGUCAGUGAUGAUGGGAUUCUGGCUCAGGCUCUCAGGGCUGAUGUAAUCCCUGUCACAUCUCCCCCUGUAGUCCACCAACAGGUAAAACAGGAGACAAAACAAACCAGCCCUGUUGUCCAGGAUUCUCAAAAGCCACCCAAGGAAGAAGGCAAACGUGUACCUUCUCCACGCACUCAUCAUAAAGACGCACACAGUCCACAACCACAGCAAAAAGACACGCACACACACACUCAAAAACAGAUGACGCACACGGUAGAAGCCCAACAUAAGGCCCCACACACCACCAAGACUCAACACACAUCUCUAUCCAGCCAGCCAACACACGCAUUGACUGCUGCCAGUCAACACAGUGCCACCCCAAAGACCAAACGGCAGACAUCGCCGCACGUCACAGAGCGAAAAACGGUGGCGCCGAGAGAUAAGAGUGCGGAGAAGAAAGGAAAAGAGAAUGACGGGAAGGGAGUGAGAGGCAAAGACGUGGGGAAGAGUGUAGCAACUAUGACUGGUCCGGAAGGACUGGGAAAGGAUGUGGCGGUGCAAGUCUCUGAUGAUCUUUGCAACGACGUCACGGUCACGGUAUCGCAGCUUGACAAUCACCUCACUGGUGCCACUGGUGGGCACAUCAAUGCUGAGGAGAGCGCGCUGGUCCUGCGCCCUCAAAAGCCAAUAGUUCGCCAGCGUCCAUCAUCACAGUACGUCUGUCAGAUUGAGAUCGAGCUUAGCAGCCAAUCACCAAAAACCUCAGGCCAGGCUCCUCCCCCAGCUACAGCUGUGAUCCCAGCUCUCCCCUCUCUUUCUGGGAAAUCAACCGACGGACCUGACAUGCCCACGGACCAAUCUGAAGCGAAAGACACGACAGGGGAGGGACUGAGACAGGAGAAAGCAGGGCCCGUGCAGGAAGUGACGUGGGAUGACCAAGGGCUUACAUGGGAGGUGUAUGGCGCCACGCUUGAUUGGCAGGCGCUCGGCUCAGCCGUCCAGAGGCAUUUGCACACCCAGAUAGAGCAGCUGGAGCUACGCCUCAGAACCCUACAGGGCUCAGUCUCUGAGAAGAAGAGCCCGCCCCCCGCGCGCAGGGUGAGGAGGAAGUGCCGAUGUUGGUUUCACUGCUCUUCCUGUUGCUGCAAGCGCAAGCAGCAUAGCGCUUGAACUUUGACCUUUACACUCUGACCCCCCUUCAACAGGACUGUUAGCCUCUGGGAUCACAACACUGACUCAGCACAGUUUCACAGUUUCACAGUUGCUUGUGUUUUGAUUGAUUUUAAUCCUGUGGUAACUCGAUAUUAAUCUGGUUGCAAUCCAUGUGUGGUCCAGAUAUGUCAGCACUUGAUGGACUGAUAAAUAAAUAUGGUAACACAGAUGGGCAUCCAAAGCAUGCAAACAGAGACAUGUGCGCACGCACGAGCAAACAGAGAGAGAGCCAUACUCACAAGCACACACACACACACAAUUCUUCGCAAUACUCUCACACACACACACACACACACAAAAACACAAUCACUUACAAAUACACAAAUAUACUCUCUUCAUUAUGCGCUCUCUCUUACAAACGAAACAUACACACACACACACACACACUCACCUACACACACACACACACACACACACACACACACUCACCUACACACACACACACUCACCUACACACACACACACUCACACACACAGUAAGCUUGGUAAAGUAGGUCUGUGUGUUCACUUUGUAGCUUUUUUAUGUGUAGCUUUUUUCAAUGAGGUCACAGUAUUCACUGCCACCCAUCUCCCUGUUCAGUUUAAAUGGAUUUAUAGACGUGCGUGCCUCUCUGUGUGUGUGUGCGUGUGUGUGUGUUUAUGCAUGUGGUUUGCCUGUGUGUGUGUGUGUGAGUGAGUGGUUUUUAGUACAGCUGUGCUCUGACUUCUAUUUGGGUUGAUGAUUAAUGUUUCAUGUUUUGUCCCCAGUUGCUUGCAGAGGGAGAGAGAGAGACAGAGAGAGGGAGAGAGAGAGAGAGAGAGAGAGAGAGAGAGAGAGAGAGAGUGCACAGAUAAAACACUGGGACUAUUAUAUUUGACACUGAAUAAACAGAUUCUGAUUCACAUGUGAGCUGAGCAUAUGAAUGGUAAACCAUGAGUGUACUGGUAUAUUUAUGAAUUAGCUCUGUAUUAGAGGCUAGUCUGCCUGUAGGUAUAACAGCUGUACUGGAUGGAUACUACAGGUCAAAUCUGUGUUUAAGGUUUUGAACCGGUGAGUUUCUCAAUAUUCAUAAUGGUCUAGUCAGGUAUGAGAGUGAGGCUGAUAUGACAGGCAUCCCCAUACUGGCACCUGGUCACUGCUUUCUGAGAGAGACAGAGAGAAAGAGUGAGAGAGAGAGAGAGAGAGAGAGGGAGUGAGACAGAGAGAGAGAGUGAGAAAGAGAGAUAGAGAGAGAGAGAAAGCUACAACAUACACACAAAGAGCUGCAUAAAUAAACCUUUAAGCAUUGCUGACACACAGCUCUACAUCCGCUCACAAUAUCAGGCUCUGUUUACUGAGUUUUAGGCAAAUACAUUGCACACUAUUCCACUGACCUCCUCUACAGGGAUGCUCGGAAUACAUGGGAUUAGAAAAGUAUUAUCCUUCUGUCACUGGCUGUAUAUCUAUAUAAGUGUAUCUAACUGUUGCUGAGAGGAAGAAAUCAAUUUGAAGUUAUCAAUUGUAUCAGGUCUCUCUCCCUCUUUCUCCCCCUCUCUCUCUCUCUCUCCCUCUCUGUCUUUUUUUAGUUGCACGUCAUACUUCAUUACCCCUGAUGUCGUACUUGUUUCACAGAGGGAACCUCAUUCAUGUUUUAUACAGAGCAGCUUUUUACAGUGAACUGUUCAAUGAUACUUGUGCAUGCAUGUGAGAGUGAGAGAGCAUGUGUGUGUGUGUGUGUGUGAGAGAGAGAAAAAGUGAGUGCAUUCGUGAGUAAGGGGCUGUAUGUGCACGGCAGUGUAUAUGUAUGUCGAUUUGACUGUGUGUGUGUGUGUGUGUGUGUGUGUGUGUGUGUGUGUGUGUGUGUGUGUGUGUGUGUGUCUCUGUGUGAGAGAGAAAGAGAGAGAGAGUUAGCGUAACAGGGCUUCAGUAAGCUCUCAGAGAGUGGUUUUAUGUGUGCCAUGACAGCACACACUAUCCUUCAGACACUGACACAAGUAACCAGAAAACUCAAUCUCAUCCAUGAGCUGAGUGGCCUAUGUAAGUAUCUCUCUCUCUCGCUCUCUCUACUUUUUGUAAUUUCUUUUAUUUAAAUUAUUAAUGCCAGGGCCUGAGCUAUUGUAUGUGUGUGUGUAUGUGUGUGUGUGUGUGUGUGUGUGUGUGUGUGUGUGUGUGUGUGUGUGUGUGUGUGUGUGUGUGUGUGUGUAUGUGUGUGUCUGUGUGAGUGUGUGUGUGUGUGUGUGUGUGUGUGUGUGUGAGAGAGAGAGAGAGAGAGAGAGAGAGAGAGAGAGAGAGAGAGAGAGAAGUAGUUAGCAGUCAAUAACAGAGAGAAAUAGAAAAAUUAAAGACAGGUUAUGUUUCUAAGAGUCUUAUAGUGAUAAUAAAUAUAUGGUAUUAUCAACGGAACAGAAUGAAGCUAGACACAUAUUAGUAAAUUCACACCGAAGCGUUGAGUAGAGCUGCCUGGUGUGUGUGCUACUCAGUAGCCACUGCUCUGUCUGCUCUCUCGUAUUAACGGUCACGUAGUGCUAACCUAACACACUAUUUAGAAUCAAAUUGGUUAAUCCAAAGGGAAUAUUGCACGAAAUGAAUAGAAAGAACUAAAAGAUGGUGUUUUGGCUAAUCAUUCAUGUUUCCAAUGCUGUGGCAUGAUGUCUCAAAAGUGUAGGUCGGGAGCCAUACCUGCAUUCAUUGAUUUAGUUUUUAUCUUCUUCACUGGUGGGUAAAGUGCGCCUUCUUCUGGAAGUAAAGAGCACAGCCCAUCCAGAGUCUGCCAUCUUGUGUUGAGAAAUAGUAUUGUAUUGUUUGACUUUGAUGUGGGUGUACUGUUUAUUUAUGAAUUACAUGUUCCUAGCCAUUUUUAGUUAAAUAGUAAUCUUGAUAUAUAUCCAUAUCCAUCUGGCUACCAGUGUUUAAAACAGGAUCAGGCCUUCAUUUCUUUUGAGCAAAGAAGAUCCCCAUUGUGUCUUCUCUAAAGGUGUGCACAUGUGAUUGUUCAGAAACAAAAUCUCUAAAAUCAUUUAUAUUGUCACUGGUCUUGCAGGAGUGUCUAUUU
ensembl:lncRNA